rnacentral:rRNA from 1 species
AGUGAACGCUGGCGGCGUGCCUAAUACAUGCAAGUCGAACGAAGUGGCGCACGGGUGAGUAAUAUAUAGUUCAUCUGCCCUACACAGAGGAACAACAGUUGGAAACGACUGCUACUACCUCAUAUUGUAGGAUGAGACUAUAUCGUAUCAGCUAGUGGGUAAGGUAAUGGCUUACACAGGCUAUUACGCGUAACUGGUCUGAGAGGAUGAUCAGUCACAUUGGAACGGAGACACGGUCCAAACUCCUACGGGAGGCAGCAGUAAGGAAUAUUGCGCAAUGGGGGAAACCCUGACGCAGCAACGCCGGGUGGAGGAUGACACUUUUCGGAGCGUAAACUCCUUUUAUCAGGAAUGCGGAACCUGAUGAAUAAGCACCGGCUAACUCCGUGCCAGCCGCCGCGGAAUUC